GUCAUUCCACUAGUGCAAUAUUGUACUAGGUGCUACUGAAUCUUUUUGUAACUUCAGUCUCCAAUAACUUAACUUCUCGAUCGUCAUACAACAAUUGCAUGAUGACACCACACCUGUAUAAUUCCAUUCUUGAUUUGCAAUUAGUUUUCUGGUAAAGGGGUAUUUCUACUUGUUCAAUGGCUGCAGGUUGUGGAGAUCACUAAAGGAAGCAAGGUUAUGUAUGAACUUGACCAAAAGACUGGAUUGAUUAAGGUUGAUCGGGUUUUGUAUUCAUAGUUGUUUAUCCAUAUAACUAUGGUUUUAUCCCUCGAACACUGUGUGAAGACAAUGAUCCAAUUGACAUAAUUCAUUCUAAGACAAAAAGAAUGAGCACAAGGAGGUAGUUGUUAAUGAUUUUUUACCUGCAAGCGUUGCUAUUGAUGCCAUCCAGUAUCCAAUGUAGAAGCAAACAAAAUUGGGGAAGGUUAAAGACUGCUAUGCAAAGAGGUGCAAUUGGACUAAUUUAACUGGACUUGUAUGCAUCACCCUAGGAGCAGGGCUUAUGCAAUUGUGGGUUGCUAUAGUGAUGGGAAUAUUAUCUGGGAGCAUUCCAUGGGUAACUAUGAUGAUUUUGCAUAAAAAGUCAACCUUACUACAAAAGGUUGAAAGUCAUAGGAGAUUUCGAAUCAUCCGUUCCUGGGAUCAAGAUGGGUAUCGUGUUGCAGAGGUUGAAUGGCUACAAGAUAUUUAGCCACCAGAAGGAACAAGUGAAAGAGAGACUAUAAGUUCACUAAAAUUUUGUUAUGAAUGUGUUUGUAAGCUCACUGUCAUGUUGGAUAGAAUGCUAGUUUAUUUGACUAUCUGCAUGCAUAUGAGAUUUUUUUGGGUGUAUAAUGGUGGUAAUGGGGCUUGUACUUAAGAUUUCAUGCAAACUACUAUAACUCCCACUGUUUGGCCAACCCUAGUGGUUUGAAUAAUGAGAUCUUUGAUUGCCCUUCAA